UCUUUUCCGUGUGUGUGCGUCUGAGAGAAUGGUGUCUAUUUGUUUGUCUGUCUUCAUGUGUUCAUUUUAAACCUACACACUGAUCUUAUUUGAUUCGUUCUGAGCGUGGCUCUGCUCGGAACGGAGAUGAUAUGAAGAACAGAGCGCUAGCUGCGUUAGCUGCGUUAGCAAUGAGCGACUCUCGAGAUUUACUUAAGGGCCUCCACGCCUCGUGUUGUGGUCAGAGGUGAUGAAUUUGAUCAGAUAUACUAGUUCUGCCUAAGUUUGAGUUCAUCUCGAGCUGAACGCAAGACUCUGAGUAAAGAGGCGAUUCUGAUCUGA
rnacentral:snoRNA from 1 species